GACGAACGCUGGCGGCGUGCUUAACACAUGCAAGUCGAACGGAAAGGCCCUGCUUUUGUGGGGUGCUCGAGUGGCGAACGGGUGAGUAACACGUGAGUAACCUGCCCUUGACUUUGGGAUAACUUCAGGAAACUGGGGCUAAUACCGGAUAGGAGCUCCUGCUUCAUGGUGGGGGUUGGAAAGUUUCGGCGGUUGGGGAUGGACUCGCGGCUUAUCAGCUUGUUGGUGGGGUAGUGGCUUACCAAGGCUUUGACGGGUAGCCGGCCUGAGAGGGUGACCGGCCACAUUGGGACGGAGAGACGGCCCAGACUCCUACGGGAGGCAGCAGUGGGGAAGAUUGCACAAUGGGCGGAAGCAGGAUGCAGCAACGCCGCGUGCGGGAUGACGGCCUUCGGGUUGUAAACCGCUUUCGCCUGUGACGAAGCGUGAGUGAAGGGAAUGGGUAAAGAAGCACCGGCUAACUACGU
rnacentral:rRNA from 1 species